AUUGAACGCUGGCGGCAGGCUUAACACAUGCAAGUCGAGCGGGGUGAUGGUGCUUGCACUAUCACUUAGCGGCGGACGGGUGAGUAAUGCUUAGGAAUCUGCCUAUUAGUGGGGGACAACAUCUCGAAAGGGAUGCUAAUACCGCAUACGUCCUACGGGAGAAAGCAGGGGAUCACUUGUGACCUUGCGCUAAUAGAUGAGCCUAAGUCGGAUUAGCUAGUUGGUGGGGUAAAGGCCUACCAAGGCGACGAUCUGUAGCGGGUCUGAGAGGAUGAGCCGCCACACUGGGACGGAGACACGGCCCAGACUCCUACGGGAGGCAGCAGUGGGGAAUAUGGGACAAGGGGGGGAACCCUAAUCCAGCCAUGCCGAGUGUGUGAAGAAGGCCUUAUGGUUGUAAAGCACUUUAAGCGAGGAGGAGGCUCUUUUGGUUAAUACCCAAGAUGAGUGGACGUUACUCGCAGAAUAAGCACCGGCUAACUCUGUGCCAGCCGCCGCCGUAA
rnacentral:rRNA from 1 species